rnacentral:sRNA from 1 species
UCUCUCUUCAGUUCAGGGUCAAACUCAGAUAAUUAAUUAAAUAUAAAUAAAAUAGAAAUGAUGUAGAAUUGUUUUUUUUUUUAACAACUAAAUUAGUAACAGUAAAAGUUUUUAUGAGUUGAUUUUUUAUUUUGAAUUACUAAGAGGUUUUAUGUUCAAGGUCAUAUAUCUUCAGCUAUAUACAAGUGGGACUAAUUGGACAUAAAAAUGAAGAAUGUAUUAACAUCUCAAUAGUCAUCCAUAACUAAGGAAUUGAAAGCUUAUUUUCGGAUGAAAAUUUAAUGUUAUGUGCGUAUUCUCAAUUUCAUUAAUCGUUCAAAACAGAUAAAAUAAUUAGUAUUAUACCGAAAUAAAAAGUGACUUGAUUGUUUACCUAAUCACAAAAUUUGCAAAAUGACACAGACUUCCAUAUAUAUAAUUGGGUCUUGUUGAUUUUUUAAAAGUUUGUAAAAUAUGUUCUAGAGAAGUAGUAGUGAUCAGCGUUAUUUCAACUCUUUUUUCGUACACAUGUUUUGUAGGAAUUGUUUGAUGCAUAUGUAACCCCCUUGUCGCGCAUGUGUACCUUCCACAUGAGUGUAUUGCAGCAGCCCAAAAGGAACAUAGUACAAGACAAAAUGCACAAAUAACAUUCUAAGAACUUCAUGUACAAAAAUAGAAGCGCUGGUAUCAAUUUUCUACUUGGAUUCUUUUUUGUCCUUUACAUUGCUUAAAUUGUUAUCUAAUUAUCAUCUAUGUAUACAUCUUGAGAGAGAGAAGACAUAACAUGUAUGUUUGGGACAAAUUAAAAACUUUAA